rnacentral:rRNA from 1 species
UACGAAGGGGGGCUAGCGUUGCUCGGAAUCACUGGGCGUAAAGCGCACGUAGGCGGCUUUUUAAGUCAGAGGUGAAAUCCUGGAGCUCAACUCCAGAACUGCCUUUGAUACUGGAGAGCUUGAGUCCGGGAGAGGUGAGUGGAACUGCGAGUGUAGAGGUGAAAUUCGUAGAUAUUCGCAAGAACACCAGUGGCGAAGGCGGCUCACUGGCCCGGUACUGACGCUGAGGUGCGAAAGCGUGGGGAGCAAACAGG